UCGGGAAUUUUGGGCAAUGGGCGAAAGCCUGACCCAGCAACGCCGCGUGAAGGAUGAAGUAUUUCGGUAUGUAAACUUCGAAAGAAUAGGAAGAAUAAAUGACGGUACUAUUUAUAAGGUCCGGCUAACUACGUGCCAGCAGCCGCGGUAAUACGUAGGGACCAAGCGUUGUUCGGAUUUACUGGGCGUAAAGGGCGCGUAGGCGGCAAUUCAAGUCAUCUGUGAAAUCUCCGGGCUUAACUCGGAACGGUCAGAUGAUACUGCUUUGCUAGAGUGCAGAAGGGGCAAUCGGAAUUCUUGGUGUAGCGGUGAAAUGCGUAGAUAUCAAGAGGAACACCUGAGGUGAAGACGGGUUGCUGGGCUGGACACUGACGCUGAGGCGCGAAAGCCAGGGGAGCAAA
rnacentral:rRNA from 1 species